GACAGGAGCUCAUCCAGCAGUGCCACUAAAAUCCCUUGGCAUACCGUCUGUCAAGCAACCAAAAUGUCCCUGUCACUCUUCUAUUUGGUGAGAGUGAAGGAAUAAGCCAAGGCAGUCAUGUUUCUGAUUCCUUUGUUUCAAUUCCCUGUACUGUUCCAACAGGAACUGUUUGUGGAUUGUGAACUAGUACUGAAGUUUACCAUACUGCUCUGGAACCAUACUGCCUGGAUUAAGUCCCAGCCCUGCCAUUUACCAGCUCUGUGACUUUGGGAAAGUUUCAAGAUCUUUCCUGAUCUCAUUUUCUUCUUCUGGAAAACAUGAACAAUAGCAAUAUCAGCCUAAUCAUGUUGUGAUGAUUAAAUGGAAUAAGACACACUGAGCAUUAAUAAAAUUCCUGGCUUCUUAUAAGUGAUAAUUUCCUAGGUAACUUCGUCUGAGCACCUACCACAUGCUAACAUAUUCCUUUUGUCAGUGUUU
rnacentral:lncRNA from 1 species